ACACCUCAACUCUCAUGGUUUGCCAUGAUGAGCUUGGACUUUGGGGGUCUUGCUGGCCUAUGGUCGGCUCCUCUCAAAUGAAUCAGCUUGCCAGUGUUUGGUGGCGUCACAGGUGUGAUAACUAUCUACGCUUGUGGUUUUCCACCAGGUAACCUUCAGUGAUGGAGGUUCGCUGGGGCUCACAAAUGUCUCUCCUCAGCGGGGACAGCUUUUUAAAU
rnacentral:misc_RNA from 1 species